AAGAAGAUAGUCACCUGCUUUCUUUUUCCUAAUUAUUGUUCUUCUGGGCUAACAGGUCUGUAUGCUGAUGGAGCUGAAAGGUGGCACCAGGGGUGGGAGGUGUGGUGAGGAGCAGAGGGGGGAUGUACAAAUGGACUCCUCAGCAGGGAGAACCUGGGAAGCAGCUCAGGUGCUGUUUGAGGUACAGCUUGUCUGCCUCUGAAGGAACAGCCACUUUCCCAGCAUGGAUGCAGGCUCUUGGCAGACUCCAGGCCUUUAUUUCCUGAGCCAGCUAGCUGUGGGGCUGCAGAAGAACCAGGCCAACAGAAGGGAGAAUGCCAGAAAAGCAACCAGGUCCAAUGCUGGCUCCAUGAAGCCUGAAAGAACACCUUACCUGUAGCUUCUUCCAGUCUUGAUUCUGAAGGGAAACCUACAACUAACUUUUAAAAGAUAAGCCUGAAAAUGGAAACCUAAUUGUGCAGACUCUAACAACUGCAAAUGCAUUUUAAGCACUUCACAGAACAAUGAAGUUUGCUCCUUACACACUUCAAAGUUCCAAAGGUGCUGUCACCACAUUGCUUUGCCCCUUGCCAGCUGGCCCUGAUGUCCCAUAGGUACAAAUCAUGGGGCUGGCUGAUCAAGGGCUGAAGAAUGAAAUUUGUGGCAGAGCAUCUGUUCCCACCUAGGAUGCCCAGGAGCUUUGCUAAGGGCUAGAAGAGUCUACAGCAAUACCGUCUUUCUCUUGUCAGCAGAUUGCUCAAUAUAUUGGGAGCAGUGCCUUUUCAAGUAA